rnacentral:piRNA from 1 species
UGGCAGUCCAUAGGUUCA